UAUGCCUACGGGGGGCAGCAGUGGGGGAUACUGCACAAUGGGGGAAACCCUGAUGCAGCGACGCCGCGUGAGUGAAGAAGUAUUUCGGUAUGUAAAGCUCUAUCAGCAGGGAAGAAAAAAGACGGUACCUGAGUAAGAAGCCCCGGCUAACUACGUGCCAGCAGCCGCGGUAAUACGUAGGGGGCAAGCGUUAUCCGAAUUUACUGGGUGUAAAGGGAGCGUAGACGGCGGCGCAAGUCUGAAGUGAAAGCCCGGGGCUCAACCCCGGGACUGCUUUGGAAACUGUGUAGCUAGAGUGCUGGAGG
rnacentral:rRNA from 1 species